ensembl:snRNA U1 U1 spliceosomal RNA
AUAUAUAUCUGGCAGGGGAGAUACCAUGAUCACGAAGGUGGUUUUCCCAGGGUGAGGCUCAUCCAUUGCACUCCGGGUGUGCUGACCCCUGCGAUUUCCCCAAAUGUGAGAAACUCGACUGCACAUAUAUAUUAUUUGUAUUAUAUAUAUAAUUUCAAA